UACGGAGGGUGCAAGCGUUAAUCGGAAUUACUGGGCGUAAAGCGCACGUAGGUGGUUUACUAAGCCAGCUGUGAAAUCCCCGGGCUCAACCUGGGCACUGCAGUUGGAACUGGUAAGCUAGAGUAUGGUAGAGGGGUGUGGAAUUCCAGGUGUAGCGGUGAAAUGCGUAGAUAUCUGGAGGAACAUCAGUGGCGAAGGCGACACCCUGGACUAAUACUGACACUGAGGUGCGAAAGCGUGGGGAGCAAACAGG
rnacentral:rRNA from 1 species